rnacentral:rRNA from 1 species
UACGGGGGGGGCAAGCGUUGUUCGGAAUUACUGGGCGUAAAGGGCUCGUAGGCGGCCAACUAAGUCAGACGUGAAAUCCCUCGGCUUAACCGGGGAACUGCGUCUGAUACUGGAUGGCUUGAGUUUGGGAGAGGGAUGCGGAAUUCCAGGUGGAGCGGUGAAAUGCGUAGAGAUCUGGAAGAACACCAAAGGCGAAGGCAGCAUUCUGGCUCGUAACUGACGCUCAUGUGCGAAAGCUAGGGGAGCGAACGGG